rnacentral:ncRNA from 1 species
CCUUGGAGACGACUCCAUGGCGCUACCAGUCCCGGCGGGACGGCCCGC